UACGUAGGGGGCAAGCGUUGUUCGGAAUUACUGGGCGUAAAGGGCGCGUAGGCGGCAUGGCAAGUCAGGAGUGAAAGGCCUGGGCUCAACCGAGGAACUGCUUUUGAUACUGCCAAGCUAGAGUGCGGAAGGGGCAACUGGAAUUCCCAGUGUAGCGGUGAAAUGCGCAGAUAUCAGGAGGAACACCAAUUGCGAAGGCAGCUCGCUGGGACGUUACUGACGCUGAGACGCGAAAGCGUGGGGAGCAAACAGG
rnacentral:rRNA from 1 species